UACAGAGGGUGCGAGCGUUGUCCGGAAUCACUGGGCGUAAAGGGUGCGUAGGCGGCGCGAAAAGUCAGAUGUGAAAUCCCGGGGCUUAACCCCGGAAAUGCAUCCGAUACUCUCGCGCUCGAGGACUGGAGGGGAGGUCUGGAAGUUCACUGGUGGUUAGCAGUGAAAUGCGUAGAUAUCGUGAGGAACACUAUUGGCGAAGGCGAGACUCUGGACAGUUCCUGACGCUGAGGCACGAAGGCCAGGGGAGCGAAGGGG
rnacentral:rRNA from 1 species